GAGCCGGUGGUAUUUCUUAAGCUUUUCUGGCUGGAAAUGGGUGGAAAAGAGUCUAAUUGCUGGCUGCGAAGAGGGAAAAGAGGAAAGAGGCAUGUCUAAGCAGAAUCUGCGAAUGAUCUGAGGUCUGCCCUCUACCUGGGAUGCUGCGGCUGCCUCAGCACUGUAAUAUGUAUUUAUAGCCUCAGACCUGCCGCCCUUUGACUCUCUCUCCUUCCCUUCCUACUCUGCUUCUAACCUAGACAACACCAUCCCAAAAACCUUGCACUGCCUGGCUGGGGGAUCAAUGUGUUUCCGGCACAUUUUAAACUCUGCUUCAGAAAAGUGUUCUGUGUCAAACGUCUGCUGUUGGACAUUCCAGAGCUUACGAGCCUUUAUGACUCAUCGUGAAAGAGACAGUGCUUUGCUUCUAUAAAGCGGAGUAGUCAAAUUUGGUGGUGUACUCCUCGAUGAGAAAUUCAAGGUCACCCUCAUCUGUACAGGGGACUUUAAGGCUAGCUAGUUCUCAAAAACAAAAGGAGGAAGAGGCAGAAGCAGAAGCUGCAGACAAUGAUAAAGAAGAAAAAGAAGAAAAGGAGUAAUUUCAAGGCCACUGAUUCCAGUUUGUACGGCCCAAAUACUCAUGGACAUGGGGCCAUUCUCUGGAGCAUAGCUGACCUACCAGUGGCCACACCCUUAAGGAAAACUGAGUCUCCUUCUACCAGAAGCCAUCGACUCUCAGAAGUGCCUCAGCUGGGGUGAACUCUUGUGAUCCCCUCCACCCACCAUGAUGAAUAUUGGCUGACUUGGUCUUGGGCAGGUCUUGUAUAGGCACCCACAUCAGCUGUGAGCUCAUGAGUGCUGAGAUCCUGAUCUGUCCAGAUGACAGUGUUUUUGUCAAGUCCUCCAUGACCUCUGUCAGGCUCUUACAGCCUUUCUGCCUCUUUUCCUUGAUUGUCCAUGAACCUUGGGGGAACCAACUAUGAUACA
rnacentral:lncRNA from 1 species